rnacentral:lncRNA from 1 species
AUUCACUUGAGUUCAGUAAACAUGUUUCUAGGUAUAGACAGAAAGGUCCCUGGGCAAGAAUAAUGCGUUGGAGGAGACAAAAAUGUGCAUGAAUAGCAGUGUUCAAGGUGUCAUGUGAACUGUAAUAAAUUUGGUUGCCUUAUUUCUACAAAGUCUAUUAUAGAGCCCUGGUGCCAAAUAAAUGAUUAUUCAUCUGUACUGAAUUCUAGGUGAGAAGACACUGUCAAAUGCAACCUUUCAGCAGUGGCUAAAAGCUUGGGUUCUAGACUCAGAUUGUCUGGCCAUGAACCCAGGUCCUUGGGAGACCUUGAACUUGCCCAAAUCACUCUGUUUUUUUUGAAACAGGGUCUCACUCUGUCAUCCAGGCUGGAGUGCAGUGGUGCGAUCUAGGCUCACUGCAGCCUCUGCCUCCCUGGUUCAAGCGAUUCUCACACCUCAGCCUCCUGAGUAGUUGGGAUUACAAUUUUGAUUAACAAUCAUGGUUUUGCUUUAUGCAUAGAGAUGUAUGAGCCAUUUGCUUAAAACUGCUGUCACCAAAAUGGUGCACGUGAUUCCAAGGGAAAUGUAGAAAGACAGGGCAAGGCUAUAGGAAUCCAAGAAAGAGAUUUUUCUUUAGUUGAAUCAACCCACAGGUUUGACCUCUUGCAUUUCUUUGCACCAAGUCAAGCUUGCUAUGAUGAAAAUCUCCAGUCUGUUUCUGAGAGAUAGACAGAAUGCAUAUCAAUAUCAUUCUAUAAAUAAUCUCCCAAGACAUUGCCACCUCCAUAAGUAGGUAGUUAAAUAUUGAAUGUUAAAUAAAAUGGAAACCCAAAGUAGUAAGUGACUUGCCCAAGGUUAGCACAUCAAGAGAUAGAACGAAGGCCUUCAGAAUUCUUUCUACAUCUCAACAGGCAAAAGAUAAAAUUCUAACAAUUUAGCUGGGCAUUCUGUGGGCCCUUAUAGUCCCAGCUACUUCGAAGACAAACAGGAGGAUCACUCAAGACCAGAUGUUCAAGGCUGUGGUGAGAUUUGACCACAACUGUGACUAGCUGCAUUCCAAUCUGUCUCAAAAAAAAAAAAAAAGAAAAAGAAAAAAAAAACAUUUUGGGAGGCCGAGGCGGGUGGAUCACUUCAGAUUGGGAGUUUGAGACCAGCCUGGCAAACAUGGUGAAACCCCGUCUCUACUAAAAAUACAAAAAUUCGCCAGGCGUGGUGGCGCAUGCCUGUAAUCCCAGCCAUUUGGGAGGCUGAAGCAUGAAAAUCGCUUGAACCUGGGAGACGGAGGUUGCAGUGAGCCAAGAUGGCUUCAAUUGCCCUCCAGUCUGGGUGACAGAGCGAGAUGAAAGAAAGGAAGAAAGAGAGAAAGAAGGAAAGAAGAAAGAAAGAAAGAAAGAAAGAAAGAAAGAAAGAAAGAAAGAAAGAAAGAAAGAAAGAAAGAGACAGAGAGAGAGAGAGGAAGGAAGGAAGGAAGGAAGGAAGAAAGAAAAAGAAAGAAAGAAAGAAAGAAAGAAAGAAAGAAAGAAAGAAAGAAAGAAAGAGGAAAAGAAAAGAAAAGAAAGAAGAAAGAAAAGAAAGAGAAAGAAAAAGAAAGAGAGAAGGGAGGGAGGGAGGGAACCAAAAAAUUAUCAAAUUAUUUCCAACUCUUCUUCUUGGUCCUCAAAGUUCUGGCCCAUUUCUCCUUCUUUCUAUAAGAAAUUCCCUGAUAUUUCUAGUAGCAAUCUGGGUAGAUUCUCUCCUGGGCUUCUCCCAGUUCUUCUGCUCCCAUCCCCUCUCCAUCAUCCACAACUAUAUUUGAUAUUGACUGAUUCAUAGAUUACUAACACCACUUCUACUAUCAGUUCAUUCGCAUCACAUGACAAACAGUGAUUGCACACCUACUACAUUUCAACCCUCUGGUCACUCCAGGUGUUUUGUUGUACGUUACUUCUGUGGUUAGCCUUUUACCUCCUGGCCUAGUUAUAGAGUUGGGCCUAGGUAUGAUAUUCAGUUUCUUCUUGGGAGAGUAGUAGGAGCCUUACCAGUGGUCUUCCUCAUGUUCUCUGCUGCACGGGACCUCCCAAAGUCUGAUAGGAUGGAGGGCAAGAAUGGGCACAAGGAACUAUAAUCCUUUUUCAAUUCUGCUCCUUAGCACUCUUGCAUCUGCUAGCUGGGAUCUUACCCAGUGAGAUCAAUCUCUUUUUCUCUAUCUCCAUUUGUAUUCUUAUAGUGGGAGAUCAAUAAAAUACUGACUGCAUAAAUAAAUUAAUAAAUGAAAAGAUAGAAGAAAUGAAUCUUUUCAAGUCAACUUUUUAGAUAUUCUCUGUUCUCCACAUAGACACAGAGGGGGAACAACACACAGUGGGGCCUGUCAGGUGGAGGUGGGGAGAGGGAGGGAGAACAUCAGGAAAAAUAGCUAAUGCAUGCUGGGCUUAAUACCUAGGUGAUGGGUUGAUAGAUGAAGCAAACCACCAUGGCACAAGUUUACCUAUGCAACAAACCUGCACAUCGUGCACAUGUACCCCAGAACUUAAAAUAAAUUUUUUUUAAAAAGAGAGACAGAUUAACACGAAAAAAAAAGAUAUUCUCUAUUCUCAAUUCAGUGGGCCACCUUAUGACACCAAUUCUGUGUGAUCCAGCAAUAGAUGUUUCCAAAAUGAGAACAUUAUGUGUUACACAAGCCCAAAGAUGCAAGAAACCAGAAAAGGGAGCCCAGGAAAUUCAGGAAUAUAUUCUACUUUUCCAUGCAAGAAGAUAAAUAUAGAUGAUAAGGAUGGGGAUAAAGAGAAGCCUGGAAUAGAACAGAAUUCAAAAUCACAACUCAAGCAGCAUUUUAGAUUGAACCAGAAGGAAUUUAGCCCUACUACAUUUUAAGUUUUUAAUCAGACAGGAAAAUUUAACGGGAAAUGUAAUGGCAUGCUACGUCAUGCAGAUGAAGCCUCCAAGUAGGAGGCUUUAGAGAGAAUAGACUGUAUGUAUUUCUUAUCAGACUUAAGGUCUGUGUUGAUGUCAGUCAAGAACUAAUGGGUACUAGGCUUAAUAUCUGGGUGAUGAAACAAAUCUAUACAACAAACCCCCAUGACACAAGUUUCCUAUGAAACAAACCUGCCCAUGUACCCCUGGACUCAAAAUAAAAGUUAAAUUUUUAAAAAAAAGAAGUUCUUGGUAAUGCCCACAAGAACUUUAUCUCUGUCUAUCAUAGCAGGUUCCACCUCUCAGUUCUCCACCUAUCCAAGGGCAGAGGGCAGAGAUUCUCAUCAGCAAAGCAGUCAGGUAAUUGCCAACAAUCCAAGUAAAUUCAGGACUUAGACUCCAUUCUAGAUUUUGCCUCUGACUGACUUUAAGCUAGUUUUCUUCAGGAGAAGGACGCAAAAUAACACUUUUCUUUUAAAGAAUUGUUAUGCUAAUCUCCGUGGGGGAACAGAUGUAAUUACUUACUAUUCUUCACAGUCCCAAACAUCUUGAAUUUGCUGUGGCUUGGAAGGCAAACAAAUCUUCACAGCCUCUCUUACUGUGAUUCCGCUGCAAAGGUGAGACAACUUCCAUGGCAAACUUAAUGGUAAUAUUUUCUAAUUGAGUUACCCCUACUCUUCUUCUUCCAAGACAUUUUCUCCCCAACAUAAUCCUCGCAGUCUUUAUUUAAUCAGAGUCUGUGUCUAAUACAUUACAGAUGCUCAAAGAAACAUUUCAUAUAAGAGUGAAAUAAUUAAUGGU